rnacentral:misc_RNA from 1 species
CACGUCCAACCUUUUCUAUUACACACCCGUGCACCUUUUGUAGGUCCUCGAAAGAGGAUCUAUGUAUUUCAUCAUCACACCUAUCGUAUGUCUAGAAUGUCAUCGUCGACCACUGGGCGGCGAAAUAAAUAAUACAACUUUCAGCAACGGAUCUCUUGGCUCUCGCAUCGAUGAAGAACGCAGCGAAUUGCGAUAAGUAAUGUGAAUUGCAGAUUUUCAGUGAAUCAUCGAAUCUUUGAACGCACCUUGCGCUCCUUGGUAUUCCGAGGAGCAUGCCUGUUUGAGUGUCAUUAAAUUCUCAACCAUGACUUUGUUGACAUGGCUUGGAGUUGGGGGUUGCUGGCUUGUUUGUCAGCUCUCCUGAAAUACAUUAGCGGUGGACAAGCAAGGCCUUCCGACGUGAUAAUGAUCGUCGUGGGGCGGAGCAUCAACGUCUGUCUGCUUCUAAAUCCCAGAUGCCUUAGCUAGACAUCAUUUCGAACGCUUGACCUCAAAUCAGGUAGGACUACCCGCUGAACUUAAGCAUAUCAAUA